GCAGUGAUGACAUUCCACUGUUUGCACACAUUAGACUGCUGAUGGGGGUGAUGCAAAUCAGAGUCUGAGC